rnacentral:rRNA from 1 species
UGGGGAAUAUUGCACAAUGGGCGCAAGCCUGAUGCAGCAACGCCGCGUGAACGAUGAAGGUCUUCGGAUCGUAAAGUUCUGUUGCAGGGGAAGAUAAUGACGGUAUCAUAGGAGGAAGCCCCGGCUAAAUACGUGCCAGCAGCCGCGGUAAUACGUAUGGGGCGAGCGUUGUCCGGAAUUAUUGGGCGUAAAGGGUACGUAGGCGGUCUAUUAAGUCAGGUGUGAAAGCGUGAGGCUUAACCUCAUUAAGCACUUGAAACUGAUAGACUUGAGUGAAGGAGAGGAAAGUGGAAUUCCCAGUGUAGCGGUGAAAUGCGUAGAUAUUGGGAGGAACACCAGUAGCGAAGGCGGCUUUCUGGACUGCAACUGACACUGAGGCACGAAAGCGUGGGUAGCAAACAGG